GCCACCCUCCCCCCACCAGUCUAGUUCACUGGUGGUUCAGUCUUAGCAGGACCCAGGGCUUCCCCUUCCACUGGUGCUCUUACUAGGAUAUUCAUUGCUAAGCUAUUGUUUCUUAACUUGGAGGCCAAUAAAGCAGCCGAUUAUAGUCUUGCAACCAACAUACGGGUGCUUUUCUCGGCUGCCUUUAAUCUGCCUGCGGAAGCUAGUAGACAGAAGCUAUGGAUUUACUUUUGAAAAGUGUUAGCAUUUCAUCCUGCCACUUAGAAACGUUAUGACUUGCACUCUCUUUCUUUUUACAUUUUAUUACACUUGUUUAUUGUGCGUGUGAAGUAAAUGUGUGGAGGUUACAGGACCUCCCACAGUAGUCAGGUUUCUUCUUCUGUCUUUUCAUCCUGAGGAUCCAACCGAGGUUCUUCAGGGUCAGCAGCAAGUCCUGCCCUGCAGAGCCAGCCCUGCCCUGCCCUGCAGAGCCAGCCCUGCCCUGCCCUGCAGAGCCAGCCCUGCCCUGCCCUGCAGAGCCAGCCCUGCCCUGCCCUGCAGAGCCAGCCCUGCCCUUACUUGCUUUCCGUGCCUUUCAGUCAUUGCCCUAAACAAAGCUAGUUGUUAUACGGUCACUCUUGAAAUAUAGUUUAAACUUGCUAUCUUCAGUUUGCAGUUACCUUUGCAACAUUACUAUUCGUUCUAAUGUAGUUUUAAAUUUGUGUUAAAGUGGUUUUCAUUUUAGUUGGCCUAAUGUCUGAAGGCAUCUGAAUUUGAAGCAUGCUCUGCUCUGGUGUCUGCCAGUCAAAUAGCAGCCUCAGCUCCAGUCUAGUGAGAAUAUGCUCUCUGUAGAAACAUCCUCCACACACGGGAACUUAGAGACUGUGUCCAGUAUCAGAGAAGACUUUAUUUGAAUUUAUUAGAGUGGCUUAUAGAGUGUGGUCCAGCUAGUCCGAGAGUGGCUGUCUACCAAUGGACAGUCCGAGGGACUGGCGGUCUCAGCUCACACCAGAAUCCUAGGAAGGAAGCUCUAGUACCAGUAAAAGAGUGAACUUGCUAAUGAGAGCCAGGGCAAGCAGGCAUCUCAAGAACUUCCUUCUUCCAUGUCCUCUGUGUAGACCGCCACCAAAAGGUGGGACCCAUACAAGGUGGGUCUUCCUAUAUCAAAUGAUUUCAUUAAGAAAAGUCUCUUGCCGGGUGAGUUAGUCUACAUAGCAAGUUCCAGGACACUCAGGGGUAAACAGAUAAACUCUGUCUUAAGAAACUAAAAAUAAAUUCCUUGUAGAUGCCAGCAACUUGGGUUUUAGUUAAUUCUUGAUGUAGACAAGUUGACAAAAAUAGCCAUCACGGUGGCUGAAAUGACAAUGUGCUUCCUGAUGAUGCCUUGAAAAGGAAAUAGUAUCACCUUGGAAGUCUUUGUACCACUGGGUCUAACCUGAGUCUAAUAAGGAAGGAACAAUCGGAUAUAUUCAGACCAUGAAAUAGUCUCCUGCUAUUGAAAGACAGAAUAAACACAAGGAGACUUUCUAAUGCAAGUGAAUCAAAACGGACGAAUGUGAACCAUAAUUGUUGAUUAUAUUCUGGAUGUGGAAAAUAGCCUCAAAGAAGGUUUUGGAAGCGCAGAGAUACUCACAUGUGGGCUUACACUAGAUAAUACCGUGAAGCUCUCUGGAUCGGGUAAGUAUAGUGUAGUCAAAAUAGACCACCUAGACCUGACAGGAUGGCUCGGGAGGUAGAGAUGCUUGGCCAAGUCUCAUGACUUGAGUUAAAUUCUCAGAACCCACCUGAUGGGAGAAAACUAACGUCUUCAAAUUGUCCUCUGACCUCCACCCCCAACACAAUUCAUACCCACAAAAUAAAUGAAAGUAAUGAAAUAUGGUAUCUAUAACACUGAAAUUGUGUGUGUGUGUGUGUGUGUGUGUGUGUGUAGAGAGAGAGAGAGAGAGAAGCACAAUACAUAUCUCAGUGUUCACAUAUAGAGAUAAAGAAUAUACUGUUAAUAUUUUAUUAUAUGUUCAUAACUUUUGAAAUUCCCCCACCCCCAAAAAAACAUAGGCGAUGAGGAAGGCAGUGGCAGUGGUUUUGUCUUUUUAUGAUUAGCAAGAGGAGCAUAGAAACAGACCGGUAGCUAGAUGAGAAUAGAGGUGCAAGGGAGCUCUUCUUCCUUCAACAAGAGGACCAAGGCCGAUUUGCCAAGACCUGUUCUGAACACUGGAGAUACGAGAGCCUAAAACAAACCUGUUACCUUCUGGAUGCUGGAGAAAGACAAGCCAUGUGGUGGUAUGUUAGCUGGGUUAUGAAAGACUCUGUCCACAGGCUUGUUAUGAAAGUAGGCAUGGGUCAAUUAUUUUCUAUAUAGCAGUUGCGGGGACCUAAAUGUGUAAAGUAUUUAGCUAAAUGAGGUAUAAAGUAUAAAUUACAGUUCUCAAAAUAGGAUCUGUAAAUCCCUACUCCAGGAGGUAACUGGUUUUGAUAGACCUCUCCAGUAAUGCUUUUGUGAGUGUGUAAAGUACUUUCUAUGUCUUUCCUGGCCAAUGAGAUCUGGAAGGCAGACUUUCACCAUGUCUGGUCUCAGGACUGGUCCAGGGAGACUGUAAGCUCUCAUGGGAAUCCCGUGUUGGGGUAGAUUUCUUUACUUCAGAAGGUUUCUUCAGUUCUACUGUACCUAGAACUACAAGAUGAUGGUAAGACUCAUGAUAAGAGAAAGCGUAUCUCAAAAGCUCGAGAUAGAGUAUUAUACCUUAGGUAAUAAUAUAAUAUAAUAUAUAUAUAAUAUAAUCCCUUAGGUAAUAUUAUAAUAUAAUAGAGUAUUAUACCUUAGAUAAUAUGUAUAAAACUAGUGCACAUUCCAAGAUUAGCAGGAAACCCUAGUGUCUUGGAAUAAAAGUCUGAUAAUCUGGAAAAGAGGACCAAGAUGGGUAGAUGAAAAAUAAAUCUGAAUUUAGUGUUGAGUCCUUUUGAUGUCUGAAAGUCUGUUGUCUUUCUGCUUGUACAUCAUCACUUUGUCUGGCCACUACAAGGGGAGUUUGCCAGCUCUCAAUCACCUUGCCAACUGUCACUUUCAGUGUCCAGUGUGAGUUUUAUCUGGCAACAGCUGGCUGUCCAUGACCACCAUUAUCACAGCCCCUGCAUAGAAGCCAUCCACAGGACAACAGAGGAAUCAAGGGGCCUGGAACUGCCGGGUUCACUCAUGGUGUCUGGAAACAGUGGUAAAUCACAGUUGUGUGGCAGGAACAGCCUCUGGGCCUGGGAAAUGUGGUUUGAGCUCUGUGAUUUCACAACACCUGCAGGCAUGUUACAUGUAAGGAGCUGGCUGACCUGGAUAAGUCCUUAUCAGGGAUACUGUCUUAAGUUAGGGGUUUAUUGCUGAGCAGAGACACCAUGGCCAAGACAAUCUUAUAACAGACAACAUUUAAUUAGUAUUGGCUUACAGGCUCAGAGGUUCAGUCCAUGCAUGAAGUAUGGAGGAAGCAUGGCAGCCUUCAGGCAGACAUGGUGCUGGAUAAGGAGCCAAGAGUUGUACAUCUUGAUCAGAACGUAGCCAGGAGAAGACUGCCCUCCAGGCAGCCAAGAGGAGGGUCUCAAAGCCCAGCCCACAGUGACACACUUCCUCCAACAAGGCCACAGCCCCUAAUAGUGCCACUCCUCGGGCCAAGCAUAUUCAAACCACAGAUACUCAGUGUUCUCUAUCAAAGACCUUUAGAUCAGAGUGACCAACAAGCUUGGCCAAUUUACGAUUGAUUCUGUAGUUUAAGCGGUAGGAGACAAUCUUAUAGCAACCAACCCAAAGUAAAUUCGUAAGUGAUUGUCCAGCUGUAUCCUGCUCUAAGAAGAGAUGGGUUCCACAACUGUUUCUCUUCUGGCCUCCAAGCUGACUGGGCAUUUUAGUAUCAUAUCAAUCCAGAAAUAUUCGUGAUACCCUCACUGUCGGCGUAGGAAUUAAGCUGGGGAGUGGAGUUCCACCCUUGGCAGUGAAAUCUGAGGCAUCUUGUGAGCAAGUAUAAUUUCCUCAAUACAUGACAAUGGGCUGAGGUCGUAGAUGGGAACUUCGCUGCCCCUCCAGUUGAAUAAGGUGUGGACAGGUGAGCCACUGAACCCUUCAGUCACCAGCUGAAGUCACCAAUGGAAGACUGAGGCCUUAUCAAUAAUUGAAGAAAACUUUGAGAAAUCUUUGAGAGUUUCCCUUUCCUACCCCUUUGAUAAUCUCAGUGCUUCCUCAGAAUUUCUAUAAAGGGGCAAGAUUGAACAUCUGGAAGCCAAUAAGAAAUGCUAAGUCAGUUGUCAUGCGAUUGCCCCUGAUCACUGCAUUCUUCCUUCCCAUGGUAUGUAAGUCUGAGGCUAGCUGCGCCUCUACAACCCAUGAGUAACCAUUCCCUUUUUAUUUGUGGACAGGUAGGAUAAUUAAAUGUGGUAAAGCAGUUAGAGCCAGAGCACCAAGCCUUAGUGGUACUCAUUACUCUACACCAUCAUGAAUUUGCAGCAAGUAAACGAGCAAAUUCAAAUUAUCUUUGAUGAAAGAGUAGGUGCUGUUAAUUGCUGCUGUAACAUUCUGGCCACAUGCACCGCCCUUCAGCAUUUUGUGUGAGGGAGUGAUCACGUGCACACAGCACUUCUGCAAGGACAGUGUGCUCAGAAAGGCAGUUAGGUUGUUCUUUCCCUUGCAGUCAGAACUGCCCACAUUUAAUGGUACUUCACUUGUGAAUCCCAGAACAAUAGACAGCAGUGGUGUUUGUUCAGAUGUAAAAUUUGCCAGGACGUGUUCUCAGGAUUGUAGAGGCUGAGCCUGUUUCUGCAGAAAACAUCAGAUAGUAUUUGUUGCUAAUGAUACAAUUCAAGGUUUUAAGCAAGAUUUGGAACCAUGUAUUUAUCACAAUGUGCCCGACAGUUUCUCAAUAUUUCUUUGAUGAAACUAUCCUAAAGUUUCUUUUUUAUUUGAUAUUUUAGAAAUGAGAUAGGCCAACAUUUAGAAUAUCUGUAUAAUUCUGUGAGCCAGUGUUCUCCAGGGGACCAAGGCACAGUAUAAAAGAUUCAUUCCAAACUACCAAGUUGUUGACUAUUCAAAGUUAAAACUGAUCACAGCACCCUGUUACUGAGUCAAGAGGAUAAAUGAUUUGAGCCCAGCCUGAGAUGCAUACAGCCUAGGGAGGAGCCUUUACAAAAGCAAAGCAAACCCAAAAGCAAAAAUAGUUACACUACUGUCACUACUGAGAACAGAAUUCUAAAAUUGUAGGGUUGUUUGUUUGCUUUUUUGUUUGUUUGCUUUUAGACAGGCUCUUUCUGUGUGGUUCAUGCUGGCUUAGAACUCGUGUCUCAGCUUCCUGACUUCUGGGGUUAUAGGCAUGCACCACCAUAUCCUAACAAAAAAAUUUUAGUUCGCCUUGAAAUAAUUAUUGGCCAAGAGACUUUAGUGUAAACAGUUUUAAAAGUCCCAGUUUAAAAAGGCUGGAGAGGAGCAGCUCUCUGCUCCCAAACCCCGUGGGAGAGAGACCUCACCGCCUGAUCAGGUGGGCACUCUUGAAGCUGCAGAGCGGAGGAGACCACCAACACUGCCCACCCCUGCCCACAUCCCUGGUUCAAGAGGCAACUGUAUAAGGCCUCUGGGUUCCCAUAGGGGAGGGCCCAGGAGCGGCAGGACCCCUGCGCCUGAGACACCGCCGGAACCUGAAGGAAACAGACCGGAUAAACAGUUCUCUGCACCCAAAUCCCGUGGGAGGGAGAGCUGAACCUUCAGAGAGGCAGACACGCCUGGGAAACCAGAAGAGACUGCACUCUGUGCACAUCCAGACGCCAGAGGAAAACACCAAACGUCAUCUGGAACCCUGGUGCACGGAGGCUCCCGGAAAGAGCGGCGCAGAUCUUCCCGGUUGCUGCUGCCGAGGAGAGGACUUAGGCAGUACUCCACGAGCAAACUUGAGCCUUGGAACCACAGGUAGGACCAACUUUUCCCCUGCAAGAAACCUGCCUGGUGAACUCAAGACACAGGCCCACAGGAACAGCUGAAGACCUGUAGAGAGGAAAAACUACACGCCCGAAAGCAGAACACUCUGUCCCUAUAACUGGCUGAAAGAAAACAGGAAAACAGGUCUACAGCACUCCUGACACACAGGCUUAUAGGACAGUCUAGCCACGGUCAGAAAUAGCAGAACAAAGUAACACUAGAGAUAAUCUGAUGGCGAGAGGCAAGCGCAGGAACCCAAGCAACAGAAACCAAGACUACAUGGCAUCAUCGGAGCCCAAUUCUCCCACCAAAACAAACACGGAAUAUCCAAACACACCAGAAAAGCAAGAUCUAGUUUCAAAAUCAUAUUUGAUCAUGAUGCUGGAGGACUUCAAGAAAGACAUAAAGAACUCCCUUAGAGAACAAGUAAAAGCCUACAGAGAGGAAUCGCAAAAAUCCCUGAAAGAAUUCCAGGAAAACACAAUCAAACAGUUGAAGGAAUUAAAAAUGGAAAUAGAAGCAAUCAAGAAAGAACACAUGGAAACAACCCUGGACAUAGAAAAUCAAAAGAAAAGACAAGAAGCUGUAGAUACAAGCUUCACCAACAGAAUACAAGAGAUGGAAGAGAGAAUCUCGGGAGCAGAAGAUUCCAUAGAAAUCAUUGACUCAACUGUCAAAGAUAAUGUAAAGCAGAAAAAGCUACUGGUCCAAAACAUACAGGAAAUCCAGGACUCAAUGAGAAGAUCAAACCUAAGGAUAAUAGGUAUAGAAGAGAGUGAAGACUCCCAGCUUAAAGGACCAGUAAAUAUCUUCAACAAAAUCAUAGAAGAAAACUUCCCUAACCUAAAAAAAGAGAUACCCAUAGGCAUACAAGAAGCCUACAGAACUCCAAAUAGAUUGGACCAGAAAAGAAACACCUCCCGUCACAUAAUUGUCAAAACACCAAAUGCACAAAAUAAAGAAAGAAUAUUAAAAGCAGUAAGGGAAAAAGGUCAAGUAACAUAUAAAGGCAGACCUAUCAGAAUCACACCAGACUUUUCGCCAGAAACUAUGAAGGCCAGAAGAUCCUGGACAGAUGUCAUACAGACCCUAAGAGAACACAAAUGCCAGCCCAGGUUACUGUAUCCUGCAAAACUCUCAAUUAACAUAGAUGGAGAAACCAAGAUAUUCCAUGACAAAACCAAAUUUACACAAUAUCUUUCUACAAAUCCAGCACUACAAAGGAUAAUAAAGGGUAAAGCCCAACAUAAGGAGGCAAGCUGUACCCUAGAAGAAGCAAGAAACUAAUCAUCUUGGCAACAAAACAAAGAGAAGAAAAGCACACAAACAUAACCUCACAUCCAAAUAUGAAUAUAACAGGAAGCAAUAAUCACUAUUCCUUAAUAUCUCUCAACAUCAAUGGCCUCAACUCCCCAAUAAAAAGACAUAGAUUAACAAACUGGAUACGCAAUGAGGACCCUGCAUUCUGCUGCCUACAGGAAACACACCUCAGAGACAAAGACAGACACUACCUCAGAGUGAAAGGCUGGAAAACAACUUUCCAAGCAAAUGGUCAGAAGAAGCAAGCUGGAGUAGCCAUUCUAAUAUAAAAUAAAAUCAAUUUUCAAUUAAAAGUCAUCAAAAAAGAUAAGGAAGGACACUUCAUAUUCAUCAAAGGAAAAAUCCACCAAGAUGAACUCUCAAUCCUCAUCUUCGGUUGGUUUAUAUACAAGUGUGCAAUUUCUAGGCUUGAAAGUAAAAUGAUGCUAUCUGGUGCUGGAUAGAGGAGCCUUAUUUUUUAUUAUGGCAGCUUGCUAUUUUUGUAACAUGGUGAUUUGGUUGAACACAAUAAAGUACAGUAGUAACUGAAAAAAAAAAAAAAGAAAAAGUCAGAUGCAUAAAGACCAGCCCAAUCUGGAUAUUUAUACCAUGCCCCAAGGCUCUGGUCCCCUCUCCCGUUGCUAAGUCCAAAGGGAAUCUGUGCACGUGAAGACUGACUCUUGGCAUUGGUGGGGAUUGUUUCCCAUGCAUAGUAAGAUCUGAGGAAAGCACAGACAGGUGACUACUCUCCCCUCUAUACCCAGAAGCAGGUGUCCACAGGUAACUCAGAAACACAUGAGUGUCCAUAGAGGCCACAUGGGGGCAGUCAUGAGGCACCUGGAAUGGUCCUGGAGGAGGCCUGGGGCAGGGACCUGGAACUCCAAUUCUCUUCAAGGUGGUGGUCUCCUCUGGUGGUCUCUGUGGCUGUGCUGGUUUUGUUUAUUUGUUUGUUUGUUUGUUUGUCAACUUGGUCAUCAGGGAACUUCAGUUGAUAAAGUGCCUACGUGGCAUUAGCCUACAGACAAGUCUGUGGGCGGUGGGGCCUUUUCUUGAUUAAUGAUUGAUGUGUGUGGGGGGGAGGUAGGCCACUGUGGGUGGUGCCAUCCCUCGGCAGGUGGUCUGGAGUUGUGCAAGAAAGCAGACUGAGCAAGUCAUGAGGAGCAAACCAAUAAGCAGCACCCCCUUCAUGGCCUCUGUAUCAGCUUCUGCCUCCAGGAUCCUGCCUUGAAUUGAUGUUCUGAGUUCUCUCUGUGAUAGACAAUGAUGUGGAAGUGUAGGCCAAAUAAACCUUUCCUUUUGGUAAAAAAAAAAAAGGCUGGAGAGAAGGCUCAGUGAUUGAGAGCACUGACUGCUCUUCCAGAGGUUCUGAGUUCAAAUCCCAGCAACCACAUGGUGGCUCACACAACCAUCUGUAAUGAGAUCUGAUGCUCUCUUCUGGUGUGUCUGAAGACAGCUACAGAGUACUUAUAUAUAAUAAAUAAAUAAAAUCUUUUAAAAAAAGUUUAAAAUGUGUGGUUCCAGAUUCUAGCCUGCAAUCAAGUGUUAGAAAGCAACUACUUUGGGUAGAAUAUGAACACUUCACUGAGGACAUUAAAAUGUCCCUUUCUUUCUAAUGCUCAGACGAUGCUGUAGUUCACCCGAAUUAACUAUUUCUGCUCAUGUGUGUGUGUGUGCGUGUGUGCGUGCAUGUGUGUGCGUGCGAGCGUGUGCGUGUGCGUGUAGUGUGUGUGCAUAAGUGCAUGUAUGUGGACUACAGGUGGUGGUUUAGUUGCCAUGUGGGUGUUUGGUAUGAAACCCAGAUCCUCUGGAAGAGCAGAUUGUACUCUUAACUGCUGCGCCAUCUCUCUGCUCAAGUUUACUUUUAAAAAGUAUUUUAUUUUUAAUUAAAAUAUAAUCAUACACUUUCCCUCUUUGCUCUCCAUCCUCCAACACUUCUUCUCUAUCCUGUUCCCUCCCAAAUUUAUAGCCUCUUUUUCUUCACUCUUGUUACACGCAUAUGUAUAUGUGUAUAUUUGUGUUGUAUGUAUGUAUGUAUGUAUGUAUGUAUGUAUGUAUGUAUGUACACACAAAAUCACUGAGUCUGUUUGCUUCAUGUUGCUUUUAUUAUGUAUAUAUUUUAGGGUUAGCCACACUGUACUGGAUGACCAACUAGAGGGCUUAUCCCUGGUGGGGGAACUAAUUCUACCCUCCAGUAGUUGUUAACUGGCUGGGUCUCUUCAUAGAGGUGGGGCCCUGGGAUAUUUUCCCAUUCCUGGUGGCAUGUUCUCAUAGAAAAGGUGGCUUAGGUGUCUCUCAUCUCAAAGGACACAAAAAUUAAAGUCCUAAUUUUAAGAAUCUCAUUUAACCUCAAUUAUCUCACCAAAUAUCUUAGCUUCAAAACUAGUCAUAUUGAAGGGUUAGGACUUCAACUUAUGAAUUGAAGGAAACAUAACAAAUUCUAGUAAGUUAAUAUAAAGGCUAUGGUUUUAUUUAAAAUCAUACUUUUCCAAAGCAGGAUUGGGGUGAGGUAGGGUGGCUGUGUGAGGAUAUUGUAAGAAAACCCUUGUUUGAAAGCAGUUUACAAUUCAAGUCUCCAGACCUUUGAGAAUUUUUCAUUCUUGAAGUCACUUAAUUGUUGGUAUUUUGUAGUGGUUGACCAAAAAGGCUAAUAUAGCAAACAUAUAAUGCACAUGUUAUUUUUAAAUGAAUUUAAGUAUUUCAACAUUGUCUCAGUGUUCUUUUCUUUUUUGUUUUUUCUUUUCUUUUUUAGUUUUUCAAGACUGUCCUAGAACUCACUCUGUAGACCAGGCUGGUCUUGAACUCAGAGAGAUCUGCCUAUUGGGAUUAAAAGAUGCACUCCACUGAGCACCUCAGUGUUAUUUCUAAUUAUUGGGUUCAGACUUGAUUUUAUACCAUAUUAUUUACAUGUUAUGUAAAUUAGCUUGCUGCUUUUUUAAUGGUAAAAGAGUCAGAUGCCCCGGAUUCAGAAACAGUAUUGAAGUGGAAACUUAAGGGUUCUUUGGAAAGUCAGUUGUGUUGAUGGUGUUUUGCUGGGACAAAACACAUGAAGGAACAAGUCACUGAAGCAGACACAGGUGAAAGGAUGUUCUGCUAAAGCAAGAGUGUGAUACAGGAUUCUUUGCUAACAACACUCAUGUAUUGCCUUGCUUUACAUUGUGUAAUUAAGUUCCAUUUGUUGGGACUCCAUAGAGAGAAAUGCAUCAAAAAACUUAUGGUGAUGUGCCUCAGAUUCUUGCCAGUUCAGUGGACUUGGGCCAAUUGGCAGAGUGAUUAGUGACUAGUCACUAAGUCUAGUCCCCGCCUAUUUUGUAACACUACUCCACUCAGAGAAUCUCUGUCAUGCUCCAGGUGGGAAACGGAUCCUUCUAGGCGCUGGAUAUCUUCAUUCAUGUCUGCUUUUAAACUGUCAUAGUUCUUUCCUGUAAUGCCAGUGCAGCUAUUCCAGUGCCAACUCUGGCUAGCCCUGCGCCUAGAAUCAAUGCUAAAGUCAAAGAAAUAGGUUCUCUUUUUUGUCUCAUUAAGCCCCUCUCAGUUUGUCCUAUCAAGCGUUUCCUUUGAAUAAUAGGUUAUACGGGGCAUUAAUUGAACCAAGAUAUAGAACCUGCCUGGGGUAGAAGAAUUAAAAACCACUCCGUUCAUACAGGAGUUAGUCCUAUUAAGUAGACCCACCAUACCUGUUCUGGGGGGAUAAUCCAUUGGAAUGGACUAUGGGAACAGUUUAAUUACAGAGGUGUUGAUAUGACAAGGGGACCUUUCCCAGGCAGAUGCCCUGUCCUGAUAUGCUUUGGAGGGUUAAAGCUGGACCUUCCUGAGACCAUCUACAUGCAGAAUGUCUUUCAGAAACUUUGUAUUGUGCUAUUAACCCAAGACCUUUAUAAAAGGUCUAACCAGCAGGAGGUGGUAAGUUCAGGCUUGGAAGCACUUAAUAUCUGGAAGGUAUUUGUCAUCCAGAGGGGAUCUGCUGAUUCUGGUUGUGUAAGAGGGAGCUCUGAAACUAAGGGUCCCUGUGAUUGGGUAACUGACGGUAAGGAAGUUGUUGGUCUAGAAGGUGUUGGGACCAGUACUGGUUUAAGGGGUGCUAGAAUUUGACUUGAGUCUCCUGCCAUUGGUGAUGACAGUGGUUAGCCUCAUUAGGAGUUUGACUGUAGAGAGAAAUCUGGGAUUUAACCCCGAUGAUGCCGUCAGAGACCAGACAUUUUCUGGCUUCCCAUCCCUUGGCUUGUUUUCUCUUGUCAGUGAACCUGACAAAACUUUGGCCUAUCUCCUUGUUGGGCAACCGUGAUAAGAUCCUCUUUCAACACCCUCCACGCCCUAUUUCCAGUGACUGACGUUUCACAUCCCCAGGCAGCACAGUAAAACUAUUCGGGACCACCACAUUUGAUAGUUCUUUUUGUCUCAGAAAUAUGUAAAAAGUCCUCUAUCAGCAUUCAAGGUAUGAAUCUUGAGGAGUCUGUUGGGUAUUGGACCAUGAGUUAUCAGCCAGCUGGCAUAAAUCAAAAAUCAAGUCGGGGAACUGGGAUAUUCCAUUUGACCCUUUUACAGGCCAGUUGGGCAUGAUAGCCAGUCUCAGAAUUUUCAGUCACCCACGUUAAAUCAAAAGGCCGGUAUGGAUUAGAGGCUGCAAUACAUACAGUUAAUAGGGACAGUAGAUUCAGGACUGAGUCGAUUUUAACUUGAGGGGAUUGGUGCCCUUUUGAACUUUCCGUUCUGUUGAGGCUGGAGUCAGGUAGUCUUCUUUAGUGGAGAAGGGAUCAGCAGGUCUGGUGUGUGUGUGGUGUAGUGAGGUGGUGAUUUCGUUCAUUUUAAUGGCAGUCAGCGAGGUCAAGGGGAUGAUAUAAGGUCCUUUCCAGCUGGGCUCAAACGUGCCUUGGUGAAAUCUCCUCACAUAGACUCAGUCUCCUGGUUGAAAGUUAUGUGGUUCUGGAACCAAGCCUGCUUCAUAAAGGGCAUGUAAUUAGACCAAACAUGUUUAUGAACCCAUUGGGUAGCUCUGACCCUAAAUAUUAAAUCAUCAUCCUCCAGGUCUGCAAUGGCUGCUGACUGCAGGCUGGGUACAAUGGAAGCUGGGAUAAGCCCAAGAGGGUUAGUCAUCUGGCAAGGAGAAUUCCUUACCCGAUAUAGGGUAAAGGCAAAUGCAAUAGGCCGGAGUGCUAAAACUGUUCGGGAAUUUCUAGAAAAAAAUUACACAGAAGAUGCAAUUUCAAAUGACAACGAAGCUAUCAAACUAGCAAUAAAAG